AAAAGUUAAAAAAAAAGAAGAAAAAGCAAGAUGGGUUCAAUUGUUGUGUAGUUCGGCUAAUUGGGCUGAUGUUGCCGUGAGAAGAGGUCGUGGAAAGGGAGGUGCAAAGAGGCACAUAAGGUUCUUCGUGACAACAUCCAUGGAAUCACAAAGUCUCACAAAGCCGGCGAUUUGUCGAUUGGCGAGAAGAGGUGGUGUGAAGAGAAUCAGUCGUUUGAUCUAUGAAGAAACCAGAGGAGUGUUGAAGAUCUUCUUGGAGAAAGACGGUUACCGCCAUGGAUGUUGUUUAUGCUCUUAAGAGACAAGGAAGAAGCCUCUAUGAAUUCGGAUGUUGAAGAAGAUUCACUCUUGUUUAUUUUCAAUUUCUUUAGCUUUGUAAUCUGAAUAUAUUUGAUUGAACCUUAGAGUGCUUGUAAUGAUUUUCUAAAUUAAUAUGAAUCUUGUAAUUCUGUAAUGA